GCAAUUUACUUCAAGUGACAAGGAUUUUAUCCCUACCAUGAGUUUGCUCGAUACUAUUUAUCGGGUAUGAACUUAGUGUUGUCAAAUCGCGGUAGCAGAAUUUGAACAAUCACUAUUGUUUUGUGAUAUACUGUUUAGUAAAGAGGGUUGUUAUAGUGGUGCUAUAGCUUUGCAGUUAAGCUGAAUCUGAUCAAACUGCUAUUUUCUCCGAUCCGCGGUUGAAAGAGAAAAAAUAACUUUUACUGUCAAAAUGAUUAGAAAGAUAUUUUGGCAGAACUUUGACUCUUGAAACAUGAUGUCUCUAGUUUUCACUAGGGGAGGAGAAAUAACUGGACACAUUUCCAUUAUUUCAGUUUAUUUUAAAAAACCAAAUAUUUUUUGACUGUCAAAACAACAUAAUAUUUAAAAACAACAACAUAAAAAUACAAUUUAAAAGAAAAACCAAACAUAAAGGCAAAACAACAUGGUAACUUUUACGAAUAAACUUGUAAUAAAUAUUAAUUAAAUCAAAUAUUAAAAGUGUUAAAGGUAUAAAUAAACAAACAAGGUCGCAAUGUAUGCCAAUGUACCAAAUGCUGAGUCUGAAAUAAUAACAAUUUUUCAAAAUGAAAGAAGAAAGAUAUAUGUCACUGAUCUCAUUUACCUUUUGAGUCAUACAACUUCAUUGGCCCCGGUAAUAUAGCUUUCUCUUGUAGCUUGGGUGGUCCACUACUAGCGAAGUUCCCCAAUACCGUGAGCGAAUCUGUAGAGGUCUCCAUAACAGCUUGUAUUGGUUUCUGGCCAUUUUUUUACAUAAUUCAUUCUUGAACAUCCCCAGAUUAUUAUUAGUUACAACUGCUGGAGACUCAGCUGGAGAUUGAGCCGCCAUGCCAUAUAUGACAUGCUUCUCCAAGAGGUUACCAAGAGACACAUAUUCAGUUUCAGAAUCAGAAAUAGAUUAGAGAGCAUUCACCAAUGAAGAAAAGUUUACACUUUACAAGUUGAGGAGAGAGACCGAAUGAAGAGAUGUUCACACUUUUAUAAACCGAGGAGAGAGAGUGUGUUAAGAGAAAUAACAAUAUACAUAAUCCAUUCAAGUCGUGAAAUAAUAAUAAAUAUAAUUGAUUUAAAAACGUAUAAUUGAAAAUAGAUUAGAGUGCAUUCACCAAUGAAGAAAAGUUUACACUUUACAAGCUGAGGAGAGAGACUGAAUGAAGAGAUGUUCACACUUUUACAAACCGAGGAGAGAGAGUGUUAUACAGAAACGGUUGCAUGGAAGAGGAUGAGGUUGGAGCAUGGAAGAGGCAUGAGGUUGGAGCAUGAUUUCCCGCGUUUAGACUUAAUAAUGAGAUUCUCUUCCAUUAUUAAGUCUAAACGCAAGGGAUCAUGCUCCAACUCUGUCUCUCUUCCAAUCUCCAACCUCAUCCCUCUUUCAUGUUCCAAUCUCAUCCCUCUUCCAUGCAACCGUUUCUAAAUAACACAUACUCUUUUCUCGGUUUGUAAAAGUGUGAACAUCUCUUCAUUCAGUCUCUCUCCUCAUCUUUUAAAGUGUAAACUUCUCUUCAUUGGUGAAUGUUAUCUCUAAUCUAUCUUCAAUUAUAAGUUCUUGAAUCGAUUAUGUUUAUUGUUAUUUCUGUUCUUGAAUCGAUUAUGUAUAUUGCUCUUCUUGAAUAGAUUAUGUUUAUGGUUAUUUCUUCAAUCUGGAAACAGUUCAUUUCUGAAUUCUUUUUUGGUUUUAGAGUUCAACACCGAUCAAAUAGAAGACAAAAAUAUUUCCGCAAACACCUCGUCUAACUCUGAUUCUGAAACUGAGUACCAAUCUUGUGAAAGUGGCACAUGCUGUUAUGGAGACCACAGUUGGAUUCGCUCACGGCAUUGGAGAGCUUCACCCAGUAGUGGACCACCCAAGCUACAAGAGAAAACUAUAUUACCCGGGUCAAUGAAGUUGUACGACUCAAAAAGUGAAUGAGAUUAGUGACAUAUAUCCUUUUUUUUAAUUUUGAAAAAUUGUUAUUAUUCCAAACUCAGAAUGCAUAUGGUGUACAUUAGCAUGCAUAAUGACCUGAGUAAUCACA